UACGUAGGGGGCAAGCGUUGUCCGGAAUCAUUGGGCGUAAAGCGCGUGUAGGCGGCUUCGUAAGUCCGUUGUGAAAGUCCAGGGCUCAACCCUGGAAUGCCGAUGGAUACUGCGGAGCUAGAGUCCGGAAGAGGCGAGUGGAAUUCCUGGUGUAGCGGUGGAAUGCGCAGAUAUCAGGAGGAACACCAAUGGCGAAGGCAGCUCUCUGGUACGUGACUGACGCUGAGACGCGAAAGCGUGGGUAGCAAACAGG
rnacentral:rRNA from 1 species